UACAAGGUAACUUCUCUGAAAAAUUCUUCUUGAGAUGUAGCUCGCAGUUGGACGGUACAUGUGUAGGUAUAAGGCUAUAAUGAAUGACUUGUCUUAAUCGCAGUAGUUUGAUACCUAAAUUCUAAAGUCUGUUGAACGAGCUAAAUUAGUUUAGGAAGGCGGUGUGCUAAUGGCUGACGUAAUUUUAGAUGUAGAUGAAAACUUGUGAAGUUGGACCACGUGCUAAAACAUCCACGUGCUAAAAGCAUAGGCUUUUUUGAAAUGGCAGUACCAGGAGUGAAUAAAUCCCAAAUUAGAUGCAUUGUUGAUAGAUAAUUUUGCGUAGUUAAAUCGACAUGGUUGCAUUACUUAUAUUUAAAUGACUAAAAGCCAGCUUUCCAAAUGCUGUUCAUGGUGGCCAGAUGAAACCGCGCUAUAACGAAAAGGUUCGAUGAAGCUUUGAUGCCCCGUCUAAAUUCAGGUAGUGACUUGAUUCAACUCAGGAUGUCUUCAAUCAUUCAAAAGGAAAUGAGUCAGUGGUCUCAUGAUACUUUACACAAGCCUCUAGAUGUAUUUAAUGCAACAACGAUGGAACUGUGUGAGUGGUUCUUGUUUCUGUAAAUUAUGCCUCUGAAUAAAUAUAUUUAAAUUAUGCCUCUGAAUAAAUAUAUUUAAGUUAUCUGCUUGUGAUUUCAUUUGUGGGUGUUGGUGUGUUACAUGUCUGAUGGAAAGCAUUGUGACAUCAUAGUAACCAUAUGACUAUUCAAAUGUCAAGGCAGUUCGGUCUACACGAUUGGGUUUUAACUUGCGGCACAUUUCAUGGUAGCCUAAUCGUUUAUGCUAAUUAAACUUAUUUUACUAAAUAAUUCCACAAUUCAGAGCUCCAUAGAUGGAGACAAAUGACCCUGAGGUAAACGAUGAUUCACUACCAGCUAUUAAAGGCAUAAAGUAACUUAAUUGCUGUAGAUUUAUAAGCACCACUAUGAUGGAUAUGUUAUUAGGACAUGCUGUCUUUACAUGUUACGAUGUUGCGUUUGGAGCAGGAGGAACCAGCCAUGGAUACUGGCGCUGUUGGUUAUUCCAGGAAUCAGGUUUGCCACACUAAAACCACAUGGAGUCGGCAUGGCAACAUAAACAGAAAGGUAGCUGUAGUCAGGCCCAUUAUGAGUAGGCCUACACCGAGAGGUGACGGGGUUACUGACAUCACCCAAAGACUGAACGAUCUCUCACACGUGGGACCUUACUUAUCUUCACAACAGAGUUGGGCAAGUUUCUGAAAAUCUAUAACUAGAUUUUCUUUUUAUUCACAUUCCAGAUGGAUUAAGACAUUACCUUGACUGUAUGACAUGUACAGUUACAUAGCAUUUAUUUUUAAAUUACAGGUUUCUGAUGCUGCACCACUGACAGUGAACCCACGUGACAGAGCCUCUGCUUUCACCCUUGCUCUGAGAGGGGUUCUGGAGGACUUGGAGGUCUCUGAUGGGGCCUUGACUCUCCAAAGAGCUCUGGAGAUUAUCUUGUCUGAUAACAAUCGGGAUUUAUCAGACUCUUCAUCAGAGUCUUCUUUGUCCUUGUCUUCAUCAUCAUCAUCAUCAUCAUCAUCAGAGUCUUUAUCAUCAUCAUCAUCAUCAUCAUCCUCCUCUUCAUCAUUAUCAUCCUCCUCUUCAUCGUCAUCCUCUUCUGACACAGAUUGAGAUUAAUUUGCUAUGGGCGAACUCAAAUGCUGGAUUGAAUUAGAUGGUGACGUCAAGGCCAGCGUCAUACUGUAACUCAUACUUUUAAUUAAAUUGAGCAUAUAUUGUACUUUUGUCU